rnacentral:rRNA from 1 species
CCUACGGGAGGCAGCAGUGGGGAAUAUUGGGCAAUGGGCGAAAGCCUGACCCAGCGACGCCGCGUGAGGGAAGAAGGUCUUCGGAUUGUAAACCUCUUUCAGCAGGGAAGAAGACAGUGACGGUACCUGCAGAAGAAGUCACGGCUAACUACGUGCCAGCAGCCGCGGUAAU